AUUGAACGCUGGCGGCAGGCCUAAUACAUGCAAGUCGAACGAGUGGCGGACGGGUGAGUAAUGUCUGGGAACCUGCCCGAUGGAGGGGUAUAACUACUGGAAACGGUAGCUAAUACCGCAUACCAUCGGAUGUGCCCAGAGGGGAUUAGCUAGUGGGGGGGGUAACGGAUGACCAAGGCGACGAUGCCUAGCUGGUCUGCGAGGGUGACCGGCCACACUGGAACUGAGACACGGCCCAGACGCCGACGGGAGGCAGCAGUGGGGAAUAUUGGACAAUGGGCGGAAGCCUGAUGGAGCCAUGCCGCGUGUAUGAAGAAGGCCUUCGGGUUGUAAAGUACUUUGGGCGGGGAGGCGUUACUCGCAGAGAAAGCCCCGGCUAACUCCGUGCCAGCAGCCGCGGUAAUAC
rnacentral:rRNA from 1 species